rnacentral:rRNA from 1 species
AGUUGGUGGAGUGAUUUGUCUGGUUAAUUCCGUUAACGAACGAGACCUUAACCUGCUAAAUAGUUACGCAAACCUUUUUUAUGCUCGGUAAUUUAGGAGAAUAUUAGAGUUAAUUUAUUAUUUGGAUGGGGCAACUUUGAAAAGUAAUAAAUUAAAGAUCGCUUUUAAGUUAUAGGGAAUGGUUUAGCGGUUAAAAUAAAUUUUAUUAAAACUUCUUAGAGGGACUAUAUGUUUCUAACAUAUGGAAGAUUGAGGCAAUAACAGGU